rnacentral:rRNA from 1 species
UUUGGAGAGAGAGUUCAAGAGUACGUGAAACUGUUCGGAAGGAAACAGGUGGUGAUUCGAAGUCCGAGAGGAGCGGGAUUCAGUCGUCUUUGCUAAGGUCUCUACCAGUUCGUAGCCGGACGCGGCCCAGUUCUGGUUAGGGAUUCCGACCAUCGACGGCGCAAUUCUCGCUCCCGUCGGACGCCGCAGCAGGCCUCGAGACGGCAGUGAGGACUGGCGGGGAGACUGCCUGUUAUGCGAUUGGUGUCGGGURAUAGGUGUUAACCCGUCGUGUUCCCGGCGCGACUCGGGGCCGAGGGAAGAGUCCGUUUAUACGGAACGAUCGUGGUCUCGCUCUAGYAGGGGAGCGGGAUCGAGGGUCCGGUGAUAUCGAACGCUCGGGUUCACGUUGGUGCGUGGCCCGGCGGAGAAGGUGCUCCGCAAGAUCCGAGACCAGCCCGCAGAGCCGAGCGAACGCUUGCGGCGAGUAGGUCGGUCUACCACCUGACCCGUCUUGAAACACGGACCAAGGAGUCUAACUUGUGCGCGAGUCAGUGGGACUCGAAUAAGCCCACGGGCGUAAUUAAAGUAUCAGGGAUAACGAAACAUAUAUCUUGUCGCGAUCCGGUCAAUUAUUGAUCGGCGCAGCGACGACUCGGCCGGAAUGGUUCCCUCGAGGAUGCCCACGGUCGGAGUUCGAGCGUACAGGUUGGUACCCGAAAGAUGGUGAACUAUGCCCGGGUAGGUCGAAGCUAGAGGAAACUCUGGUGGAGGACCGCAGCGGU